GACCAGACUCCUACGGGAGGCAGCAGUGGGGAAUAUUGCACAAUGGGGGAAACCCUGAUGCAGCGACGCCGCGUGAGUGAAGAAGUAAUUCGUUAUGUAAAGCUCUAUCAGCAGGGAAGAAAAUGACGGUACCUGAGUAAGAAGCCCCGGCUAACUACGUGCCAGCAGCCGCGGUAAUACGUAGGGGGCAAGCGUUAUCCGGAUUUACUGGGUGUAAAGGGAGCGUAGACGGCAGUGCAAGUCUGGAGUGAAGGGCGGGGGCUCAACCCCGGACUGCUCUGGAAACUGUACGGCUGGAGUGCAGGAGAGGUAAGUGGAAUUCCUAGUGUAGCGGUGAAAUGCGUAGAUAUUAGGAGGAACACCAGUGGCGAAGGCGGCCUGCUGGACGAUGACUGACGUUGAGGCUCGAAAGCGUGGGGAGCAAACAGGAUUAGAUACCCGCGUAC
rnacentral:rRNA from 1 species